UACGGAGGAUCCGAGCGUUAUCCGGAUUUAUUGGGUUUAAAGGGAGCGUAGGUGGAUUGUUAAGUCAGUUGUGAAAGUUUGCGGCUCAACCGUAAAAUUGCAGUUGAAACUGGCAGUCUUGAGUACAGUAGAGGUGGGCGGAAUUCGUGGUGUAGCGGUGAAAUGCUUAGAUAUCACGAAGAACUCCGAUUGCGAAGGCAGCUCACUGGACUGCAACUGACACUGAGGCUCGAAAGUGAGGGUAUCAAACAGG
rnacentral:rRNA from 1 species